AACGAACGCUGGCGGCAUGCCUAACACAUGCAAGUCGAACGAGACCUUCGGGUCUAGUGGCGCACGGGUGCGUAACGCGUGGGAACCUGCCCUUAGGUUCGGAAUAACUCCCCGAAAGGGGUGCUAAUACCGGAUAAUGUCUUCGGACCAAAGAUUUGUCGCCUUUGGAUGGGCCCGCGUUGGAUUAGCUAGUUGGUAGGGUAAAAGCCUACCAAGGCGACGAUCCAUAGCUGGUCUGAGAGGAUGAUCAGCCACACUGGGACUGAGACACGGCCCAGACUCCUACGGGAGGCAGCAGUGGGGAAUAUUGGACAAUGGGCGAAAGCCUGAUCCAGCAAUGCCGCGUGAGUGAUGAAGGCCUUAGGGUUGUAAAGCUCUUUUACCCGGGAUGAUAUUGACAGUACCGGGAGAAUAAGCUCCGGCUAACUCCGUG
rnacentral:rRNA from 1 species